CAACAGGCCUGGCAAGGGAAACACCAUUAUCCCGCAGGUGGUUUUCCCAGGGCAAGGCUCUUCCAUUGUACUGUUGACGUGUUGAUCCCUGCAAUUUCCACAAAUGUGGGAAACUCGACUGCAUAAUUUGUGGUAGAGGGGGACUGAGUUUGCACUCUGUCCUGAU
ensembl:snRNA U1 U1 spliceosomal RNA